GUAACUUCGACUGUACAUGUACUAAAAUUGGAACGACACAGAGAAGAUUAGCAUGGACCUUGCGCAAAGAUGACAUGCAAACCCGUAAAUGGUCCCAUAUUUUU